CGACAAGCGGAGGAGCAUGUGGUUUAAUUCGGUGAUACGCGAGGAACCUUACCUGGGCUCGAACGUAAGAUGACUGUAGGUGAAAGCUUACAUCUCUUCGGAGCAUUUUACGAGGUGCUGCAUGGUUGUCGUCAGCUCGUGCCGUGAGGUGUCGGGUUAAGUCCCAUAACGAGCGCAACCCUACCUUUAGUUGCCAUCAGGUCAAGCUGGGGACUCUAAUGAAACUGCCUACGCAAGUAGUGAGGAAGGUGGGGAUGACGUCAAAUCAGCACGGCCCUUACGUCCAGGGCUACACACGUGCUACAAUGGCCGGUACAAAGGGCAGCUACCUGGUGACAGGAUGCUAAUCUCAAAAGCCGGUCUCAGUUCGGAUCGGAGUCUGCAACCCGACUCCGUGAAGCUGGAAUCGCUAGUAAUCGCGCAUCAGCCAUGGCGCGGUGAAUACGUUCCCGGGCCUU
rnacentral:rRNA from 1 species